AUGAAGAUUCAAAGAAGUUUUCAAUAUGGCGUGGAAAUCGGAAUCUUACAAUUCAAAUACAAUGUAAACAGAACUGUUAAAGUUCAUGUCUACCAUGGUUUAUAUAUGAUAACUAGUCUGGUACGCCUUAAAAUUAGAUUUGGGUUUGCUGUGCUAUUGCGGGCUUUUCUAACAAAUUUCUAAACAACGCAAAAGACAAGAAGGAUCACAAGAAACACAACAAGUCAUGUUUGUUUGAACCACAACCAGAAUACAAAUGGAACAUCCUGUUGAACUUCAAUUCUAGAUUAAGGGCUAUACAGACUGAACAUGUACCUUGGGUGGAAUAACCACAUGUACUUUGGAGGACCUGAGCAAUGCAUUUGGAGAAUGUCAAUGAACGGAGAAGUGUUGAUAGAUACAAACUUGUUUGGAACACAAGAGAAAGAGAGGUUGUUAAGAGAACCAAUGAAGAUAUUGAAGACAAAGUUGAUAUUAAGUUACAAGUUAAAAUGUAUUCUCAAUGUGUUGUUAAUGUUUGUGUUAAUU